UGUUGUCCCCUCUCUCUGCUCUCAGUGUGUGGUUCGACAGCACCACCCCAGGUUCACCUCCUGGUGCCCACCUGCGAGGAGAGCUCCACAGAGAGCCAGCUGGAGCUGGUUUGCCUCCUCCUGAGCUUCAAACCUGGCAAUGCCGAUGUGAAAUGGAUGGUGAAUGGAAAGGAGAGCAGGCCCCCCACCCUGGCCUUUUCCUCUGCAAUGGGCACAGACGGCUUCUACGUGGGGCAGAGCCGCAUGAAGGUCACCAAGCAGAGCUGGGAGAAGGGGGACGUCUACACCUGCCAAGUGACCCACCCAGCAGUGGGAGCAGAGCUCUCCAGGCACAACACCAGCAAGUGCUUGGCCUGCCUCAGAAGCUCACUUGACCCAACCAUCUUCUUAACCAAACCCUCCUAUGAAGACGUCAUCAGAAAUUCUGGUCAUGUUACCUGUCUGGUUCUGGGUUAUGACUUAUCAGCCAGCAGAAUCGCAUGGAAAGUGGAUGAACAGGUCAGCUCUGCGGCGAAGACAGAACCCCCCAAGAAGAACAGCAACGGGACCACCAGCCUGGUCAGUUCUCACCCUGUGUCCCCGGCACAAUGGCGACAAGGGACCCAAUUUACCUGCAAAGUGACCACAUCCUGUUCUGGAGAACUAACCCAGGACAUAACCGUGAGCAAUACAGGUGUCAGCAACUGUAAUCAACACCCUCUGGAGGUGUCUCUUCUCCCCCCUUCCCUGGAGGACCUCUACAUAGUGCAGAACGCCACCAUCAGUUGUUUGAUGAGCGGCAUGGAGACCCCUCGCAGCCUGGAGGUCUCCUGGAACCGGGGUAGCGGUGGCCCGUUGGCCGUGGUCUCCAGGGAUCUGGUGCUGCACGAAGAUGGCACCUACAGUGCAACCAGCAUCCUGCGGGUGUGCGUGGAGGAGUGGCAGACGGGGGAGGAUUUCACCUGCACCGUGAAGCACCAAGACUUCCCGUCGGCCAUUGUCAAGACCAUCCACAAGAGUCACAUGGUCUUCCUCCAGGCCCCUUCUGUCUACAUCUCCCCUCCUCACGCUGAGGAACUGGCUCUCCGGGAAUCAGCCACCAUCACCUGCCUGGCCUCCGGAUUCCGGCCCAGAGAUAUCUUGGUGACAUGGACCCAGCAGAACCGGCCCGUGUAA